rnacentral:rRNA from 1 species
GCAGCUUGCUGGACUGUAACUGACGCUGAGGCACGAAAGCGUNGGGAUCAAACAGGAUUAGAUACCCUGGUANNCCACGCCGUAAACGAUGAAUGCUAGCUGUUAGCGAUAUACUGUUAGCGGCACAGAGAAAUCGUUAAGCAUUCCACCUGGGGAGUACGCCGGCAACGGUGAAACUCAAAGGAAUUGACGGGGGCCCGCACAAGCGGAGGAACAUGUGGUUUAAUUCGAUGAUACGCGAGGAACCUUACCUGGGCUUAAAUUGCAGUGGAAUAACGUGGAAACAUGUUAGCCUUCGGGCCGCUGUGAAGGUGCUGCAUGGUUGUCGUCAGCUCGUGCCGUGAGGUGUCGGCUUAAGUGCCAUAACGAGCGCAACCCUCAUCGAUAGUUACUAACAGGUUAAGCUGAGGACUCUAUCGAGACUGCCGACGUAAGUCGUGAGGAAGGUGGGGAUGACGUCAAAUCAGCACGGCCCUUACGUCCAGGGCUACACACGUGUUACAAUGGGGGGUACAAAGGGCAGCUACCUGGCGACAGGAUGCUAAUCUCAAAAACCUCUCUCAGUUCGGAUUGGAGUCUGCAACCCGACUCCAUGAAGCUGGAUUCGCUAGUAAUCGCGCAUCAGCCACGGCGCGGUGAAUACGUUCCCGGGCCUUGUACACACCGCCCGUCAAGCCAUGGGAGCCGGGGGGACCUGAAGUAUGCAACCGUAAGGAGCGUCCUAGGGUAAAACUGGUGACUGGGGCU